rfam:Nomascus leucogenys chromosome 3, whole genome shotgun sequence.
GCCAGGCUCAGUGGUGUGAGCCUGUAGUCCAAGCUACUUGGGAGGCUGAGGUGGGAUGAUUGCUUGAGCCUGGGAGUUUGAGGCCGCAGUGAGCUAUGAUCAUGCCACUGCUCUCAAGCCUGGGCAACAGAGUAAGACCCCGUCUCUU